rnacentral:rRNA from 1 species
UACGUAGGGUGCGAGCGUUAAUCGGAAUUACUGGGCGUAAAGCGUGCGCAGGCGGUUUCUUAAGUCAGAUGUGAAAGCCCCGGGCUUAACCUGGGAACUGCGUUUGAAACUGGGAGACUUGAGUGUGGCAGAGGGGGGUGGAAUUCCACGUGUAGCAGUGAAAUGCGUAGAUAUGUGGAGGAACACCGAUGGCGAAGGCAGCCCCCUGGGUUAACACUGACGCUCAUGCACGAAAGCGUGGGGAGCAAACAGG